UCGGUCCGAUGCUCUUGUGCUUUCAACCGUUCCUGCUAAGGAAGCAGAGGAGGGGUAGGGUCGGCAUGACAGGAACAUCGCCUGCCCAGUUCCUGGAGUUUCCCACUCCAGAAAAUACCAGGCAAGAUCCAAGGUCCAGGCCACCCAGCCCUUCCCGUCCCAAGGUAAUCAAUCCACCACAGACAUUCUACCAUGGCGCACAUGUAAUAAACGUGGCAUUCUACAGAACCCAGAGAGCGGCUGGGGGCAGGGCACUGAGUCCUGGGUGUUACGAGGAGGGACCAUGGCCUAAAACUCUUUGGCAAGCAGAGACUUCCAUCAGGCCCGGCUGGGACCCUCACAGUUGGAGCAAGAGCCGUUAACCAUAAUGGGAGAGCCCAUGUCCUGGCACCAUGCGCUGUGCUUGCAAGCGAGGGCUUGGCACCUGCACGAAUGUCCUCAAAGGUCACAGUUGCAACAUGCCUGCCUGCAGGAUGGUACCAAAGCCACCAUGGGAACUACACUCCGUAGUCUGCAGAGUGGGUCCCAGAAAGGACAAAGACACCCAGUCCAUACAGGCACGGGAGUGCAUGCAUGCCUUCAACCCCAGCAAAAGAAGGGAGAGUGGAGCAGAGAAGAAGCUCUGUGGACCAAGGUACUUCCUACCAAGCCUGAAGACGGAGUUCAAGUUUAAUUCCCUAAACUCACAGGGGAGAGACCUGGACUCAUGCCAAGCUGUCCUCUGACUUCUACAUGUGCACAGUACCGUGCCCAUGCCUAUAUGUAUACAGGAACACACAAAACUAAUGUCAUUUCCAUUUAUUAUUUAUUUUAUGCUUACAAGCGUUAUCAUGACUAUGUGUAUAUACGUGC